rnacentral:rRNA from 1 species
UGAGCAAUCUGCCCUUCUCAUCGGAAUAACCAUUGGAAACGAUGGCUAAUGCCGAAUAUGACCUCGGAACACAUGUUCUGAGGUGGAAAGCUCCGGCGGAGAAGGAUGAGCUCGCGGCCUAUCAGCUUGUUGGUGAGGUAAUGGCUCACCAAGGCAUUGACGGGUAGCCGGCCUGAGAGGGUGACCGGCCACACUGGGACUGAGACACGGCCCAGACUCCG